CUUUCUGUUUCUAGAGGAAGAUGGGCCUGGCUGCAGGGAACUGAGACAAGUGCCACCCACCCAGGCUGACAUCCAGCAUGGACGUACUCCGGCGAAUCCCACCAUAGAGAUUCCCUUUCAUCACAACAGCCCAGCUCGGUGUUUGUCAAGCAGCUUGAAAGCUCAGAACUGCAAACGGCCUCGCAAACAUGCUCUGUAUCCCCAUGCCCUGGGCCUGGCCUAUAGCUCCCCAUUGGAACCACACAAUCAGUGCCCCUGCCCUGCACUUUGCUGCCUGCUUGCAUUGGUUCUCUGACAUGUCGCCUUCUCGGGGCCCUGAGUCAGAAAUCCAGCAUGCGGCUGCCCAUUGGGCCUUCCCCAGACAUUACGAAACAAACAAUGGGACUCACGUGAAAUGAGGUCGAAGCACUUCCUAUCAUCCGGGUUCGGCUUCACUUGGCAAGUCAGCAAAUUCAGCUUGGCUGGUGGGCGGUUUAGCUAGUGGAUGGAAGAUGGAUCCUUAGUACUUGCAGCAUUGCUAGGACAGCAACCCCUGGGGGCAGGUCCCUGCCAUGCUCCCAAGCAAUUAGGGCCAUUGAGGCAGGGAACAGGGAGGAAGAACUUCCCAGCGGUUAGGGACAAACCUGAACUUGGCAGACUCAAGUUCAAGACCCUGCUCUGUAAGAGCCUGCCGAUGUGAGCCUGGGGAAGUCACUUAGUCUCUCCAGCCUCAGUUCCCCUCUGUCCACGGGGAUAACAGCCCUGCCCUGCCUCCCAUGGGAGCUGUGAGGGGAAAUCCAUUGAAGCCUGUGAGCACUCAGCUAGGCCAGUGACAGGGGCCAGACAGAACGCAGUGGGCCUUUCCAGUAACCCAGGCACAUUGUUCUUGCUGGUGCUGUCAUCAAUAACAAUAAAAGAAAUCACAGCAAUGCUCCCCCUUUCCCCUGCUCCUGGAUGCUUGGUGCACUCUCCAUGCAGGCUCUCAGGCUGGGCAAGACCCUAGUGCCUUUGCCUGUGGUCCACUGAGGGCACAGGGACUCCAGCCUCAAUGGAAAGACUCCAGUGGGCACUGGGUCAGGCCAGCAGCAUGGGGCUGGAGAAGAUCACACUCCAGGGUUUCUAGUCAGGCUCAGGAAAAGCCACUAGACUCACUGUGGGUAACAAU